rnacentral:rRNA from 1 species
UGGGGAAUUUUGCACAAUGGGCGCAAGCCUGAUGCAGCGACGCCGCGUGAGGGAUGAAGGCCUUCGGGUUGUAAACCUUUUUCGCUCAUGGUCAAGCCGCAGCUUUGGGUUGUGGUGCGGGUAGUGGGUAAAGAAGCGCCGGCUAACUACGUGCCAGCAGCCGCGGUAAUACGUAGGGCGCGAGCGUUGUCCGGAAUUAUUGGGCGUAAAGGGCUUGUAGGCGGUUGGCCGCGUAUGCCGUGAAAUCCUCUGGCUUAACUGGGGGCGUGCGGUGGGUACGGGUUGACUUGAGUGCGGUAGGGGAGACUGGAAUUCCGGGUGUAGCGAUGGAAUGCGCAGAUAUCAGGAGGAACACCGGUGGCGAAGGCGGGUCUCUGGGCCGUUACUGACGCUGAGGAGCGAAAGCGUGGGGAGCGAACAGG